GUUUUGCUGAAGAGUCCCAACCAAGGUGGACGAAACAGAUGUCCAGUAC
rnacentral:hammerhead_ribozyme from 1 species